rnacentral:lncRNA from 1 species
UCUCGUACAAUCCCUACUUUUGUACAGCUUUUGUGACAUUUGAAUUUUGAAACAGUGUUUCAACAUCGAUUUGAGGAUUUGGCUCCAUCUUCUCUCUUUCUCAUGUAUAUUGAACGACUCGAUCUCCUCUCUUUCUCAGAACACCACCGACUUGAAGAUUACAUCUGGGAGAUAUGACAUCGAAUAAGUUCGUUCUUCCGAUUCAACAACCAUCAGUUUAUAGUGAAUCAAGUCUGCAAAGAUUGGUGGCUACGGAGAAGAGUUCCUGGCUGUAGAUGGUGAUUGAGGUAGGUUCCGACAGACAAACUGAGGAUUUAAUAAGGUGUGGCCGAUAUUUGAUUCUUUUCAAUCUUGUGAUUUUCGGAAGGUAAAUUGAAGCCACCAACGGGCUUGUAGCCUAGCAGCGUGAUGGUAUCAUGGUGCGCAGAUAAGUUGUUCCUCCCCUGCUUCAAUGGCUGAUGUAUCUGCGUUUCAUGCAACUUCAUUUCUUCCUGUAAAAAAGGCUGAGGCUAUAACAGAUACAGAGAGAAGAGGGUUUCUAAAAAUGUAGAGAUAGGCGUAGAGAGGCCAUGUGGUGAAAUUUGGCUCAUGAAAUGAAUGACAACAGAGUAUAGUGUUUAUGUAUGGACUGUGCUUUGCAUUGCUUUAUGUACCAUAGAUUGGUAUUCAUUAGUAAGUUUUUAUUAUUUUCAGGAAGCACCAGAUAUUGUUUAUUUUUGGUCUUACCUUUUCGGGAAAUGGAUGUUGCCAAAAUAAUAUCCGAACCCCAGUUACAGCUAUUAAUUUGUAUUGUGGUUUUUUAUUUAUUUUACUGUUUUUAUUCAUUUAUUUUAAAUCUAAAGAUAAGGGGUUGCUAUUUUGGUUACUUGAUCUAUCCCUGUUACAAGUUUCCCUCUAAUAUGUGUCCUUUACCGGGACUUGAAUAACACUCUGGUUUUGUAGGGUGCUUUCUACCUUUUUAUUGAUUUCAACCAUUACUAUGGCACACAGGUUGAUGGUUUCAAGUUGAUUAAAAACUCAGGAUGCGUGUGCUGGUAUUUGUUAGAAACGGGUCAGGUUGCCCUUGUGUCGAAAAUGAUGGUUAAAGCUGACAAAUACUUGGUCAUGGGAUGCUAUGAUAAUGAUGGUCUUGUGAGCUCUCCAAGAACACCAACACAUGAAUAACAGCUUACAGUAGACUCAGCUGGUAACGGGUUUGGCCACAUUGUUUUCUGCUAUUCGUGAAGUGGUUGGGUAGUACAAAGAAAAUACAAAGAUUAUAGCGGAUACAUUUACCUCACUAGGUUUCAAAGUAUAUGGCGGAAUGCAUGCCCCAUAUGUGUGGGUCCACUUCCCUGGUCGAAAUUCGUGGGACGUCUUCAGUGAUAUUCUUGAGAAAAGUCAUGUUGUGACCACACUUGGGAGUGGGUUCGGACCUGCUGGUGAAGGGUUCGUUAGGGUCAGCGCCUUUCGCCCCAGGAGCAUCGUGUUGGAAGCCUGUAGGAGAUUCAAGGAGCUAAGAAAAUGAAUCCGUUUUCAUAUUAAAUUAAUUAAUUCUUCAAUCAACCUGCUUGUUUGUUGGAGGA